rnacentral:rRNA from 1 species
CAUGAGUCAUCUGCCCAGAAGUGGGGAAUAGCUCGGCGAAAGCCGGAUUAAUACCGCAUGUGGUCGUAAGACCAAAGCCGGGGCAACCUGGCGCUUUUGGAGGAGCUCGUGGCCUAUCAGCUAGUUGGUGAGGUAACGGCUUACCAAGGCAACGACGGGUAGCUGGUCUGAGAGGACGACCAGCCACACUGGAACUGAGAUACGGUCCAGACACCUACGGGUGGCAGCAGUCGAGAAUUUUUCUCAAUGGGGGAAACCCUGAAGGAGCGACGCCGCGUGGAGGAUGAAUGCUUUCGGGUUGUAAACUCCUGUCAUUUGGGAACAAGGCCUUACGUUAACUACGUGGAGGAUUGAUAGUACCAGAAGAGGAAGAGACGGCUAACUCUGUGCCAGCAGCCGCGGUAAUACAGAGGUCUCGAGCGUUGUUCGGAUUCAUUGGGCGUAAAGGGCGCGUAGGCGGCGGGGUAAGUCUGGUGUGAAAUCUAGGAGCUCAACUCCUAAACUGCACUGGAUACUGCUCUGCUAGAGGACUGGAGAGGAGACUGGAAUUCACGGUGUAGCAGUGAAAUGCGUAGAUAUCGUGAGGAAGACCAGUGGC